rnacentral:misc_RNA from 1 species
CGAGUUUUAAUUGUUAGGUUUAGAGUUGAGCUGGUUAAUCUAAUUAAUAUGUGCUUACUCUAAUCUAAACAAGUCCAACUCAUACUUAAACACUUGUGAAAAACUUAUUCAUUACAAACAUUAUUAUUUGUAUUGGACGUUUGAUUAUUAAAAGUUAAUA